GAACAAACAAAUGCAACAGUUAUGACAACAUGCAUGUUUUAGUCUACAUGACAGAAAGGCAGUUCAGAAGAGUGGUCAGAUCAUUCCUCAGUUACAGGAGGUAUAUUAAGAGUUUUAUUUGACUCAGGAGACGACUGUCUCAGUAUUCCCUUGGAUUUAAGAUACUUCAAUAUACUAAACAGCAUAUGGAAACUGACCAGUUAUUCAACAUUUGAAAACACACAGAAAGAGGAAAACACGGUGGAAGCACUACUGAAACAGCAAGAAGACUGGAAAAGCUGUAACUGAACUUCUCCCUGUGUUUUUCUUUAAGAAAUCAAAAUAGCAAAAUUUACCAGCGUGAAAAUGCCAUCAUGACGUUUCACCUUAGCCAAAUAAAAU